AUAUGAAACACACUUAUUCGUAAAGUCCUCUUGGAUUACUGCGCCAAUUCUGGAGCUAAUCCAUGCGAAUAAACCCUGACUUUCGAAGGGUGCAAUUAUUAGAGCAAAUCAAUCACCUUCGAGUGUAGUUUGCUGACUCUAAAUAACGCUGCAUGUCGGCGUUUUAUCCGCUGAUAUUCCGAAAAAGUGUCUGACCUAUCAACCUGGUUGUAGUCUACUAGUCUUUCAUGGUUAUCGGGUUCUAGUGGCAAUCUUGGUUCACUG
rnacentral:ncRNA from 1 species